rnacentral:rRNA from 1 species
GAUGAACGCUGGCGGCGUGCCUAAUACAUGCAAGUCGAGCGAACAGACGAGGAGCUUGCUCCUCUGACGUUAGCGGCGGACGGGUGAGUAACACGUGGAUACCUACCUAUAAGACUGGGAUAACUUCGGGAAACCGGAGCUAAUACCGGAUAAUAUAUUGAACCGCAUGGUUCAAUAGUGAAAGACGGUUUUGCUGUCACUUAUAGAUGGAUCCGCGGCGCAUUAGCUAGUUGGUAAGGUAACGGCUUACCAAGGCGACGAGGCGUAGCCGACCUGAGAGGGGUAGCGGGCAAAGCGGAAAUGAGACACGGGCCAGGAUCCGACGGGAGGCAGCAGUAGGGAAUCUUCCGCAAUGGGCGAAAGCCUGACGGAGCAACGCCGCGUGAGUGAUGAAGGUCUUCGGAUCGUAAAACUCUGUUAUUAGGGAAGAACAAAUGUGUAAGUAACUAUGCACGUCUUGACGGUACCUAAUCAGAAAGCCACGGCUAACUACGUG